rnacentral:tRNA from 1 species
GGCGGGUUGGUUCAUUGGUUACAGCUUAGAUCUCGUAACCGAAAGGUCGCGGGAUCGAAUCCCGCUUCUUCGUCU